AUCUAGUUUCUUUACUUCUUUUAAAAACAAGUCCUCCAUCGUCAGAAAAAUGCCAGAAGAACACGUGUAAAACAUCAUUUUUAUCUGAAAACUGCUGUAGAGCUCCUAGGUAUUAGCAGAGACAUUUUGAGAGAAAAAGUUCAGUAAAAUACCUCAGGGAUUAGCUGACAGAGUUGCCCUGGUGUCUCGCCUGCCAGUGGUUAAACCUCCUGCACCUGCUCCACCCUGAGCUGACAUCCCUCUGCUGCCUCUCGUCUCCCCCUCUUUCUUUUUUAAAAGCAGAAAUUCAAAAGGGAGAACCUUAGACUCCUCCAGUUUCACCUGAAUGAUAAUGGAAGAAGCCAAUUUAGCCUGAAACAAAAAAAAAAAUCGAGGGAGGACGGCAUCCAAGCGUUCACUUUGGCGGGGAAGUUCCGCAGAGGUGGGCAAAUCUGUAAAGCGCUGGAGCUGAGAGCUAGUCGCCUCAUCAGGGCGUAGAUUUUACAGCCCCCGUUGCCCUAAUCCUGACAAGCCGUCCCUGCCUUCCUCACUCCGCCGGAGACGCGUGCAUGCAGAAAACGAAGGGAUGUGACGGCGCUGCCAUAAUGAUGCCGCCACUGAUUGCGGCGUGUGAUCCGAACCUGCCGCCAAAUCCUCGCCAUCCACCGACGGCCUUCUCAGUAGGAUCGAUACUUCGAAGUCAAUAUAUGCGUAUUUGUUUUGGUUAUACCAAAACAAAAGAA